rnacentral:lncRNA from 1 species
GUCAUGUUCCUCCCUCCUGUUUUGACCCAAAACCCUUUCUUUUUUUCCUUCCUCCCAAUACCCCUAUAGGUUUGUUGUUUGUCACUUUGAUUGUAUAAUUAGCUUAGCUCUCUUUUUCAACUAAGUGGUGUGAUGAUAGCCAUGGAUUGACACCAACCACAACCAUCAUCAGAAACAUUAGCAUCAGAAAAUGGGUGAGAAUCAGAGGACUAUGGAGAAGAAGGGGGAGAAAAGGGUCCUCAUCCUCUUGCUCAAGCUGGAACUGGUUCUUUCCCUGGAGGCUUCAUUGGGAAACAUAGGUUGCAAGCAGCCAUAACCAACCUCAAUAACCAAAUUAGUAUUUUGCAGGAAGAAUUGGAAAAAGUUGAAACAAUUGGUGAAUCCUCCACCGUUUGCAAGGAUUUAAUUUCAAGCGUUGAAUCCAUUCCAGAUCCUCUCCUUCCAUUCACCAAAGGUUCAGUUGAUGCUGGUUGGGAUCGAUGGUUCGGAGGUGCCCACCACUCUCGAAAUCACAAACGUUGGAUUUAGAUAUUUUGUUUUUUAUUUAUAUAUAUUUUUUGGUUACUAUGAACAAAUAAUUUAAUAUUUACCUGUUAGUGAUGGAAACAAAAGAGGAUAUUCUAAUGUACUACAGUGAUAAAUGAAUUACAUGUUCUUUCAGUUUUUAAUGAUUCACUUUUCUUUCCAGAAAAAGAAAAGCAUGAUGAUUAUAAAUGAAUCGAAAUUCCUUCUUUAGUUUUUUUA